rnacentral:rRNA from 1 species
CCUACGGGUGGCUGCAGUGGGGAAUAUUGGACAAUGGGGGCAACCCUGAUCCAGCCAUGCCGCGUGUGUGAAGAAGGCCCUCGGGUUGUAAAGCACUUUCAGUGAGGAAGAACGCCUGGUGGUUAAUACCCAUCAGGAAAGACAUCACUCACAGAAGAAGCACCGGCUAACUCCGUGCCAGCAGCCGCGGUAAUACGGAGGGUGCGAGCGUUAAUCGGAAUUACUGGGCGUAAAGCGCGCGUAGGUGGCUUGAUAAGCCGGUUGUGAAAGCCCCGGGCUCAACCUGGGAACGGCAUCCGGAACUGUCAAGCUAGAGUGCAGGAGAGGAAGGUAGAAUUCCCGGUGUAGCGGUGAAAUGCGUAGAGAUCGGGAGGAAUACCAGUGGCGAAGGCGGCCUUCUGGACUGACACUGACACUGAGGUGCGAAAGCGUGGGUAGCAAACAGGACUAGAUACCCGUGUAGUC